AGCGAACGCUGGCGGCAGGCUUAACACAUGCAAGUCGAGCGCCCCGCAAGGGGAGCGGCAGACGGGUGAGUAACACGUGGGAACGUGCCUUUUGGUUCGGAACAACUGAGGGAAACUUCAGCUAAUACCGGAUAAGCCCUUACGGGGAAAGAUUUAUCGCCAAAAGAUCGGCCCGCGCUGAUUAGCUAGUUGGUGGGGUA
rnacentral:rRNA from 1 species